ACUGUUAUUUGCAUAGGAUUUUUUUAAUGCCUUUCCAAGUCUGAAGUACCCUUCUCACCUAAUAAGAGGACAUUACGAUGUGUUGUUUCAAAAUAAAGGCCCUUUAAAUUAGAACAAUUAUUUAAUUUUACUACCUUUAGGUUCUUGGGAAUUACUAUUUCCUGGGACCUAAAAUGGGAGGCCAACACCAGCUCCAUCCUCAAUAACGCCCAGCAAAGGAUGUACUUUCUGUGUUCAACUGAGGAAACACGGUGUGCCACAGGAGCUGAUGAAACAGUUGACGAGGGGAGCUGCAGGUGAGCUCAUUAGUGGGGAGAGUACCUGGCCUCCAUUACGUGCUUGGGCAGCAGCAGCAAGAGAAGGUGUUGCUGGAUAGUGCAGUGUUUUAAUGAUUUAGCUGCUGUUGGUGUGCAUGUUGGAGAGGAGUGGAGACAGAGCAGAGAACUGUUUUGGGCAGGUGCUGCUGUUUCACUUGACUCUCAUCAUACAUUGGAAAGAGUAUUCAUUGUGCAAGUUCACAAGAAGGCUGGGGUGCUCCUGAUUUCCC